rnacentral:lncRNA from 10 species
CACAGCAGCUGGCUCAAGGCUGGGAGGGGAAGUAAAACACUAAAUCUAAGGACCACUCUAUUCACCCUACAGUGACUGCUCUUUUUCCCUCCUGCCACAGUCCAGGGUAGGAGAUACUUCUCCAGGCUCUCACUUAUGGGGGCUUUCCUGCUGGCUACAUCACUGAAAUGGAAUCUCCUAGUGGCCCUUCUCCCUCUACAGCUCUGGUGUUACACUGAAAAACUAGAAGUUUCAAAACAGACAAGGGAAAAAGAGAAACAUCAGAAAGUCUGAUUAAAGUAGAAGCAUCAUAUUUCUAUCAACGUAUCCACUGUGCUUGGACUCUGUAAUAUUCACCGGCAGGAAAACCCAAGGGAAUGACUACUAUGACAUCUGAUGUGAAUUUUUGCCACCUUCAAUGAGAAAGACUGAAACAAAAAACUCAGAAGAAAGAAAGAGACUGAGAUAGCAAAUAUGACAAACUGUUAAAAAUUCAUGAAUCUGUUAUGGAAUACUAUGCAGCCAUAAAAAAGGAUGAGUUCCUGUCCUUUGCAAGGACGUGUAUGAAGCUGGAAACCAUCAUUCUGAGCAAACUAAAACAGGAACAGAAAACCAAACACCACAUGUUCUCACUCAUAAGUGGGAGUUGAACAAUGAGAACACAUGGACACGGCGGGGUGGUGGGAACAUCACACACCGGGGCCUGUCAGAGGGGAGGGGGCUAGGGGAGAGAUAGCAUUAGGAGAAAUACCUAAUGUAGAUGAUGGGUUGAUGGGUGCAGCAAACCACCAUGGCAUGUGUAUACCUAUGUAACAAACCUGCAUGUUCUGCACAUGUAUCCCAGAACUUAAAGUAUAAUAAUAAAAAGAGAGAUUAAAAAAAUUGGUGAAUCUGGGCAAAAUGUACACAGGAUUUUUCUGUACUGUUCUUGCAACUUUUCUACAGAUUUGAAAUGUUACAAAAUAAAAGGUAUUUUUAGAAAAAGAG